rnacentral:tRNA from 1 species
UCCGAUAUGGUGUAGUGGCUAACAUUAUCGCCUCUCAAAUUUGAACGCGAUAGCCCGGGGUUCGAUUCCCCGUGUCGGAA